UACAGAGGGUGCGAGCGUUAAUCGGAAUUACUGGGCGUAAAGCGCGCGUAGGCGGCUUUUCAAGUCGAUUGUGAAAUCCCCGGGCUUAACCUGGGAACUGCAGUCGAGACUGUCUGGCUAGAGUAUGGGAGAGGGAAGUGGAAUUUCAGGUGUAACGGUGAAAUGCGUAGAUAUCUGAAGGAACAUCAGUGGCGAAAGCGACUUCCUGGACCAAUACUGACGCUCAUGUGCGAAAGCGUGGGGAGCAAACAGG
rnacentral:rRNA from 1 species